GACGAACGCUGGCGGCGUGCCUAAUACAUGCAAGUAGAACGCACAGUUUAUACCGUAGCUUGCUACACCAUAGACUGUGAGUUGCGAACGGGUGAGUAACGCGUAGGUAACCUGCCUGGUAGCGGGGGAUAACUAUUGGAAACGAUAGCUAAUACCGCAUAAUAUUGAUUAUUGCAUGAUAAUUAAUUGAAAGGUGCAAUUGCACCACUACCAGAUGGACCUGCGUUGUAUUAGCUAGUAGGUGAGGUAACGGCUCACCUAGGCGACGAUACAUAGCCGACCUGAGAGAGUGAUCGGCCACACUGGGACUGAGACACGGCCCAGACUCCUACGGGAGGCAGCAGUAGGGAAUCUUCGGCAAUGGACGAAAGUCUGACCGAGCAACGCCGCGUGAGUGAAGAAGGUUUUCGGAUCGUAAAGCUCGGUUGUAAGAGAAGAACGGGUGUGAGAGUGGAAAGUUCACACUGUGACGGUAUCUUACCAGAAAGGGACGGCUAACUACGUG
rnacentral:rRNA from 1 species